rnacentral:rRNA from 1 species
UUAAGUUAUUAAGGGCGCACGGUGGAUGCCUUGGCACUAGAAGCCGAUGAAGGACGUUACUAACGACGAUAUGCUUUGGGGAGCUGUAAGUAAGCUUUGAUCCAGAGAUUUCCGAAUGGGGAAACCCAGCAUGAGUUAUGUCAUGUUAUCGAUAUGUGAAUACAUAGCAUAUCAGAAGGCACACCCGGAGAACUGAAACAUCUUAGUACCCGGAGGAAGAGAAAGAAAAUUCGAUUCCCUUAGUAGCGGCGAGCGAAACGGGAAGAGCCCAAACCAACAAGCUUGCUUGUUGGGGUUGUAGGACACUCUAUACGGAGUUACAAAGGACGACAUUAGACGAAUCAUCUGGAAAGAUGAAUCAAAGAAGGUAAUAAUCCUGUAGUCGAAAAUGUUGUCUCUCUUGAGUGGAUCCUGAGUACGACGGAGCACGUGAAAUUCCGUCGGAAUCUGGGAGGACCAUCUCCUAAGGCUAAAUACUCUCUAGUGACCGAUAGUGAACCAGUACCGUGAGGGAAAGGUGAAAAGCACCCCGGAAGGAGAGUGAAAUAGAACCUGAAACCGUGUGCUUACAAGUAGUCAGAGCCCGUUAAUGGGUGAUGGCGUGCCUUUUGUAGAAUGAACCGGCGAGUUACGAUUUGAUGCAAGGUUAAGCAGUAAAUGUGGAGCCGUAGCGAAAGCGAGUCUGAAUAGGGCGUUUAGUAUUUGGUCGUAGACCCGAAACCAGGUGAUCUACCCUUGGUCAGGUUGAAGUUCAGGUAACACUGAAUGGAGGACCGAACCGACUUACGUUGAAAAGUGAGCGGAUGAACUGAGGGUAGCGGAGAAAUUCCAAUCGAACCUGGAGAUAGCUGGUUCUCUCCGAAAUAGCUUUAGGGCUAGCCUCAAGUGAUGAUUAUUGGAGGUAGAGCACUGUUUGGACGAGGGGCCCCUCUCGGGUUACCGAAUUCAGACAAACUCCGAAUGCCAAUUAAUUUAACUUGGGAGUCAGAACAUGGGUGAUAAGGUCCGUGUUCGAAAGGGAAACAGCCCAGACCACCAGCUAAGGUCCCAAAAUAUAUGUUAAGUGGAAAAGGAUGUGGCGUUGCCCAGACAACUAGGAUGUUGGCUUAGAAGCAGCCAUCAUUUAAAGAGUGCGUAAUAGCUCACUAGUCGAGUGACACUGCGCCGAAAAUGUACCGGGGCUAAACAUAUUACCGAAGCUGUGGAUUGUCCUUUGGACAAUGGUAGGAGAGCGUUCUAAGGGCGUUGAAGCAUGAUCGUAAGGACAUGUGGAGCGCUUAGAAGUGAGAAUGCCGGUGUGAGUAGCGAAAGACGGGUGAGAAUCCCGUCCACCGAUUGACUAAGGUUUCCAGAGGAAGGCUCGUCCGCUCUGGGUUAGUCGGGUCCUAAGCUGAGGCCGACAGGCGUAGGCGAUGGAUAACAGGUUGAUAUUCCUGUACCACCUAUAAUCGUUUUAAUCGAUGGGGGGACGCAGUAGGAUAGGCGAAGCGUGCGAUUGGAUUGCACGUCUAAGCAGUAAGGCUGAGUAUUAGGCAAAUCCGGUACUCGUUAAGGCUGAGCUGUGAUGGGGAGAAGACAUUGAGUCUUCGAGUCGUUGAUUUCACACUGCCGAGAAAAGCCUCUAGAUAGAAAAUAGGUGCCCGUACCGCAAACCGACACAGGUAGUCAAGAUGAGAAUUCUAAGGUGAGCGAGCGAACUCUCGUUAAGGAACUCGGCAAAAUGACCCCGUAACUUCGGGAGAAGGGGUGCUCUUUAGGGUUAACGCCCAGAAGAGCCGCAGUGAAUAGGCCCAAGCGACUGUUUAUCAAAAACACAGGUCUCUGCUAAACCGUAAGGUGAUGUAUAGGGGCUGACGCCUGCCCGGUGCUGGAAGGUUAAGAGGAGUGGUUAGCUUCUGCGAAGCUACGAAUCGAAGCCCCAGUAAACGGCGGCCGUAACUAUAACGGUCCUAAGGUAGCGAAAUUCCUUGUCGGGUAAGUUCCGACCCGCACGAAAGGCGUAACGAUUUGGGCACUGUCUCAACGAGAGACUCGGUGAAAUCAUAGUACCUGUGAAGAUGCAGGUUACCCGCGACAGGACGGAAAGACCCCGUGGAGCUUUACUGUAGCCUGAUAUUGAAAUUCGGCACAGCUUGUACAGGAUAGGUAGGAGCCUUUGAAACGUGAGCGCUAGCUUACGUGGAGGCGCUGGUGGGAUACUACCCUAGCUGUGUUGGCUUUCUAACCCGCACCACUUAUCGUGGUGGGAGACAGUGUCAGGCGGGCAGUUUGACUGGGGCGGUCGCCUCCUAAAAGGUAACGGAGGCGCUCAAAGGUUCCCUCAGAAUGGUUGGAAAUCAUUCAUAGAGUGCAAAGGCAUAAGGGAGCUUGACUGCGAGACCUACAAGUCGAGCAGGGUCGAAAGACGGACUUAGUGAUCCGGUGGUUCCGCAUGGAAGGGCCAUCGCUCAACGGAUAAAAGCUACCCCGGGGAUAACAGGCUUAUCUCCCCCAAGAGUUCACAUCGACGGGGAGGUUUGGCACCUCGAUGUCGGCUCAUCGCAUCCUGGGGCUGUAGUCGGUCCCAAGGGUUGGGCUGUUCGCCCAUUAAAGCGGUACGCGAGCUGGGUUCAGAACGUCGUGAGACAGUUCGGUCCCUAUCCGUCGUGGGCGUAGGAAAUUUGAGAGGAGCUGUCCUUAGUACGAGAGGACCGGGAUGGACAUACCUCUGGUGUACCAGUUGUCGUGCCAACGGCAUAGCUGGGUAGCUAUGUGUGGACGGGAUAAGUGCUGAAAGCAUCUAAGCAUGAAGCCCCCCUCAAGAUGAGAUUUCCCAACUUCGGUUAUAAGAUCCCUCAAAGAUGAUGAGGUUAAUAGGUUCGAGGUGGAAGCAUGGUGACAUGUGGAGCUGACGAAUACUAAUCGAUCGAAGACUUAAUCAA